UUGUAAGAAAUGAAUUUUGCAUCUUUGCAAAUAAAGUCGUUAAAAAAUUGCAAGUACCCGAGGAUAAGUAAUAGGGGCAAGCUUUUUGUUCUUUAGUCUCUCAAUAGUUUCCUUGUCUUCACGCAAAUCAAGCUUCGUACCAACCAAAAUUAUUGGUUGGUACGAACUGUUUAUUGUUAAGAGAAGGAGCACUGUAAUCCCAACGCCUCUAAAGCGAUUCCACUAAAAACCAAAGUAACAAAUUUAGUCGCAAUGUAUAAAUGUAUACAGCUAGGAUUCAUUUUUGUUCUAUAAUCAACUUACCAAGAAUCUGUAGGGUCACUACCCAUGGCUACUACAUCUUCCUCAUUCGUAUACUUUCAUUAGCAAUACUAGAUUCAGACACCGGUUCAUAAUUGUUAAUUGCUGCAUUGACUGAUCUCUUUUAAUAUUGCAUAUAUUUUAUUACGUAUACACAGUAUAUGAGGUAUAAUAAACCUGUAAAAUAGUCCAUGGGAUAACUACAAAAUAAUGGUCUACCGAAAGCUUCAGAACGAGAAUCUCUGAUUUCUACGACAAACUCCAAGUUAGAGAGAAAACGUUUGUUUCAAUAACAAUGUCAGAGCAUUUUGCCGAUCAGUAGAAGUGUCCAUUGACCAUUAACAGUUCACAAAGUUUUUCAGCUUCUUUCACACACACUUUAAUCCUGACUGAAUAGACCUGAAAAAAAGAAUCACCACAUGUAAAAGCACAUUACUCUUGUACUCAAAAGUUUAAUACUUGAAGGCAAAUCUUACUUCUGAAAGAAGCUUUUUAUGUUCAAUGGGCUUCUAUUCCAUUUGUUCACAGUAUACAUCUGAAUCUUCAAUGUUGUCUAAAAGGCUUUUAUUAAACAUUCAUGUGCGUUUAUUCUUUUACUUCUAUUUAUUUCUAAGAGUCCACUGCUUCCAGCAUAGUUUUCUACGCAAUAUAACCUUUGUUGAGCAUUUUGAUAUGAAGAAGGGUUAUUAUUUUCUGAGUUCCAUCUUUUUCUUAACUUGACCAAACGUUCAUUUGCAGCGCAUCUUGAAUUUGUACAUUUUCUAGCACUACCCAUGGCUGCUACAUCUUCCUCAUUCGUACUUUCAUAAGCGAUACUAGAUUCAGACACUGGUUCGCAAUUCUUCAUUGCUGCAUUGACUGAUCUCAUUAGAGAGCUAUUUUUAAUUUGUUGAACUUCAGGAAUCUUAGGCCACUUUUUUGCUGGUGUUUGUGCUGCAGUUUUACGAGAUGGUGAGGGACUUCGAACCAAGGGCACUGCUGCAGCUUUUAUCUUUGACCCUAUGCUGGAGUCACUGUCAGAUCCAUCUAUAAUGGUGCUGCAUUUGCUUACAUCUGAGUCGGUAGAGGCAACAAAACUAGCUCCUUUUGUGUUUAGGUAUGGAAGGUGCAGAAGACAAUGAAAGCACUUUAGAUGCUCCAGAGGUUUGAUUUUGUUUUUGAUUCCGAGUUUUUGGUCCUUUCUUCUUAGCUUCUAGUGCAGCUUUCCGUUCAGCCAUGUCUUCUCUACAGAGGCAUUGCAGGUGUGUCAUUUUUCACUUCUUUUGCUUCUGCUGCUGCAGCUUUUGGUCCUUUUGCUUUCAACAAUUUGUCAGCAUUAGUGUUUGCCUCGUCAUCAGGAUAAUCUUUCCUGUCAAUAUCCGCUUUCCUUUUCCUGCCUUUCUGUGCCUUUGGAUCCUAAAAUGAAGACAUUAUUCAAAAAACUAAUCAAAUACCAAAAUAGAAAAUUGAAUUACAAUGCACAGUCAAUGUCUUACCUUGUUCACUUUUCAGCUGACCAUCUUGCUUCGCUUGUGUUGUCGUUGAAAUAAAACUUAAACUUGAGCAGGCUCUCUAUCACACACUGAACUGCAUCUGCAGAUCUCCAAGUUACUGGGCGACAGCAUAGGCCAGGCUACUGCUCAGAUGAAUGUCGCUGCCCUCCAGAAGAUGCUGGGUAUCGAGAAGACCGACGAGAAGAAGAAUCUCCGUAACGACGCGUCCGCUUCUUCCCCUGGUUCUCCCCCAGACUUCGUAGGCAGAGCAUGCCUCAAUCCCGACGGCAAGUCCAAGGAGCCCGAGGAGCCGUUUCGUGCCAGACCGCUCCGUUGUUGCCUACACAGCUGACUCGUAUCCCUGCAAAGUUAAUCCAGUAAUAGUCAAUGGACAGCGGCGUAGGUAGAGAACUGAUAAAGAAAACCGGGACAGCGACGUUGGAGGCCUCACUCUCUCCCACAGCCUUAUCACGAAAAUGUAGCGACUAAGUAAAACACGACGAUAGCGGCACGAAAAGCCUAUACCUACUUACGCUACUGGCCCUGUAACGUCUGUCCCCACGAGCGAAUGUACUCAAAGCCAACAAAGACAGAGAGAAAAAACAUUCUGCAACUGCAUGGUGUCGAGUGAGGUUAACCGCUCUCUGCAGUGGUCUAUUCACACCAUGCUGUCGUCUGCACGUGCACCAGCUGCGGUGGCGGCCAUGUUACUUGUAUGACGUCACUUCAGUAGGUCAUUCCACCUCUUCGCUAGCAGCGACGCUGCACGCAUAUAUACCUAUAUAUAUGCGUGCGUAUAUGCGCCAGCGCCGUGGCGAGCGUCACAUACGGCAAAAUUCCCGCGAAUGGGGGAGAGAGCUUUCGCCGCCCGUGAGCGGGCGCAAUUUUUCGAAAAACAAGUGCGCAUCGAGCGGCGAAGUAGCGUGGAUCGCCGAGACGCGAGCUCCGAAAGAGUCUCACUUGGUCUGCCGGCAGCGGAUCACUUCUGUCCUCCGUCCUUUUCGUUGUGCUAACUGUCGAGUAACGAGUCGAAGAAAUGGCAUCUACUUCCUCAAUCAUUGGCUGUAAGUAUCUGAUUCUUUAUUUAAAAUGCAGAGUGACUCUACCUCGUACUCCUCUUUCUUUUUUUAACAAUGUGUGCUACAUUUCCCUUUUUUUUAUUUUUCAGAUUACAAGCUGCCCACACCAACCAUUGACGACAUGAGCGUUUGGAAGUCUCCGAGAGCUGUUCACUCCAGUUCGCCCAGCUAGCGAAGUCACACACACACACACACACUACUUUUACCUUGUUGAUUGCUUUUAAGUUAGUUUGUAAUUAGUUUUAAUAAAGGCGCUUUUAUUGAGAACGGACAGUCAUUUCGAGAACUGGUGAAGCGACAACUUUUCUCUCCUCCGGCAUUUUAAUCACCUUCCAAAGAUCGUCAUCGCAGAACAACAUGGCCGCCACCGCUGCGGUUGCACGUGCAGACGACUGCAUGGUGUGCAGCAGACAUACAGCACAUUGGCUCAGCGCGCUUAUCGUUUGAAGGUUUAUAAGUACGACGCAUGUGUGCUGCAGCUGCAUUCAACACUAGAACUCCUACACUUCAAAAUAAGUGAUAAUUCACAGUCUGAAGAGUUUGAGGCUCGUACGACUUGCCGUCGGGAGUGAGGCAUUUUCUGCCUGCGAAGUCUGAGUGAGAACCAGGGGAGCAAUUUGCGAUGUCAGCGGACGCGGUGAUUAGUGAUAAGGAGAUUCUUGUUAUCGUCGUCGGUCUUCUCGAUACCCAGCCUCUUCUGGAGCUCAGCAACGUCCACCUGAGCAGUAGCCUGGCUCAUGCUGUCGCCCUGCAGUUCCUUGGAGAUCUGCAGAUGCAGUUUAGUGUUUAGUGUUUAAUAGAGAGCCUGCUCGUGAAGUUUUAUUUGCAUGAAGCCAGCUGGUCAGGACCAAAAGCUGCAGCAGCAGAAGCUAAAGAAGUGAAAAAUGACACACCUGCAAUGCGUCGUACAGAGAAAAAAUGCCAGGACACCGAAGAAGAUCGCCCAAAACCGUUUGAGAUCACAAUCUGAGACCAUGUUGUAAAACGAAGAGCAGAGUGCAUUGUAGUCGUUGGCGUCUAAGUUAAUCAACAAGAAUGCAGCAAAUUGUAGGCUUUCCGGGGACAAAACUCCUGUUACUCAUCUCUGCACCCUCAAAACUGCAAGUUCUGGUGCUAGCUCGGCGCACAAACUUGGAAAGCGCUUUUUCAGUGACAAUGCUUUGCCACAAACUCCAGACUACAUCAAUUCGGUGCAUCUGUAGAUACCAAGAGCAAAGACUGACAAUGGAAUUGAUGAACAAAGUGUAAUAGAAGGACAGAGUAGUAGUUUAACUGUGGAAGUUAGAUUAAGGCCAUUAACUUUUAUGGAAUAAACUGAACCAAAGAUAAUGUCUAUUGUCGAAGUUACUGGUUAAAACAUAGUAGUUGACUGUGAUACGUCCCAACAUACUUUUAUGCAUGAUCAUUGUUUCAUUUCUCACAAUGAUCAUCUGAAGCCUGAUCAUGCCAGUCAAGAAUCAGUAUUCAAUAGUUGGAUUACGUUCAACAAAAAUAGGAGAACAAUGUGAAGCCAUUGUGAGAUUUCCUAGACUGUUUGAAAACUAUCCGUUUCCGAUAUUGAUAAAUUCGUCUCUACUGAAACUAGCAGAUGUUUUUCGCGUGAAUGUCAUGUUUCACCAUGUCUUGGCAGCAAGGUCAUCCAGUCAAGCAAAAUUAGAUUCUCUGGACAUGAUAAGAUACUGCAUACAAGUUGAAGCAGCUAUUUAUGCUGCUCAAAUGUUCGCUGCCCAAUCAAAGUUGUUUGCAAUUUUUAUGUGCAGUAAAAUUUCUGACAUGAUGAGAGGUCAAGCUACUCGAGCAUCAAUGAAAUUACAACUCAUACCUACCUUACAAUACAUGCAUCAUGAUAUUUCUACUGCAUCAAUGGCAAAUGAACUGUGUAUGGAAUUGCUUGAAAGCUAUCCUGCUGAUGAAUUUGUACGAGUAACAUUGAGUGCUUCAACUACCUUGGCUUCUGCUAUUUUUAUUAAUGUUACCAGCACAAGUAACAUUACUUUUACGUUACUUACAUGAAGACCCUAGAUCAUCGAUAAAAACACAUGCUCUACAACUUUUACGCAGUCUCGCUAAAAAGGGGCUCAUCUAUGGCUACAAGGAGCAUUGGAGCAGUUGAUUGAUAGUGCAACUAGUCUCUUACAAGAUAGUGCUGGAAAUAAAAUUUGCUGAUUAGAUCUUUGAAUGUUAUUGAGGUAUUAUUAAAUUGAGGACUUCAAAAGCAUGUUAUUCUCCAAAUCCUAUUGUUGCUGUUAAAGCUAUUACUAUUUGGGCGAGAAUAGCUUGUUAUUGUUAUAUAUCAGGAGAUCCUAAGCAAGAGGAUCCUUGUUUCACAUGUAGAGCCCGUGUACGCUGCUCUUGUGCGAUCCGGGGGCUAUUCAAAGGCAGCCGUUCUCACGCGUUGCGUCGUCCAGAGCCACCCAAAAACCCGCUAGUUUCACCAGGUCAGCGGGAUUCAAUUUACCGUCGGCUAUUUACCAUUGGCUAUUCACAGUCGGUAAAUCGCAUUCGGGUGGCGCAUGCGCACUGUUAUGCCCAGUUAACACGCUACCGCCACUGGCGCGAAAAUGGGGGGCACUUCCGGAAAUACAAAGUUUCAUUUAACGGUGUGUGUACAUCGUUUAACAUACCAGCUGCAGUAUCACCAUCUUCCUUGAUGAUCUCGAAAAAAUUUCGAUACAUUUUAAAUACUAUUACACUGUAAUAAAAACAUUUUAUUUACAUAUAUAC